rnacentral:rRNA from 1 species
CACGUAGGGUGCGAGCGUUGUCCGGAAUUAUUGGGCGUAAAGAGCUCGUAAGCGGUGUGUCGCGUCGGCCGUGAAAACCUGCAGCUUAACUGUGGGCUUGCGGUCGAUACGGGCAUCACUGGAGUUCGGCAGGGGAGACUGGAAUUCCUGGUGUAGCGGUGAAAUGCGCAGAUAUCAGGAGGAACACCGGUGGCGAAGGCGGGUCUCUGGGCCGAUACUGACGCUGAGGAGCGAAAGCGUGGGGAGCGAACAGG